GCCGAUUACCCGCGAUGGGACGAAAAGACCCCGUGAACCUUUACUAUAGCUUAACAUUGAAUUUGGGUAAUUGAUGUGUAGGAUAGGCCGGAGACUUUGAAGCAGGUACGCCAGUGUUUGUGGAGUCGCUGUUGAAAUACGGCCCUUUGGUUAUUUGAGUUCUAACUCGCUGAUGCGAGGACACUGUUUGGUGGGUAGUUUGACUGGGGUGGUCGCCUCCAAAAGCGUAACGGAGGCUUCUAAAGGUGCCCUCACGCCGAUUGGUAACCGGCGGUAGAG
rnacentral:rRNA from 1 species